UUGGAAAAUUUUUAUAAAGAGUCUAGCCUGCCCAGUGAUUAAAAGUUUAACGGCCGCGGUUCUUUGACCGUGCNAAGGUNGCAUAAUCAAUUGCCUUAUAAUUANAGGCUUGUAUGAAAGGUUUAACGAGAAUUUAACUGGCUCCUGCUAAUUANGAUGAAUUUGACUUUUAAGUGCNAAGGCUUANAUAAUAUUGAAAGACAAGAAGACCCUAUUGAGCUUAAAAUUUUUUAGNNGNAUAUACNUUAUAAAUAUUUAAAUUUUAAUCUAUUAACUUUUUUUAGUUGGGGCGACUUCGGAACAAUUAAAACUUCCGAGAUGUNAUUAGUAUGAUACUAUUNUAAUUUUUUUUGNAUGAUCCUAUUCUGAUUAACAGAAUAAGUUACCNNAGGGAUAACANCAUAAUCUUCUUUAAGAGCUCUNAUCGANAAGAAGGUNUGNGACCUCNNUGUUGGACUANAAUAUCCUAAGGGGCAGAANUC
rnacentral:rRNA from 1 species